rnacentral:rRNA from 1 species
UUGAACGCUGGCGGCAUGCUUUACACAUGCAAGUCGAACGGCAGCGCGGGCUUCGGCCUGGCGGCGAGUGGCGAACGGGUGAGUAAUGCAUCGGAACGUGCCCAGUAGUGGGGGAUAGCCCGGCGAAAGCCGGAUUAAUACCGCAUACGACCUGAGGGUGAAAGCGGGGGACCGAAAGGCCUCGCGCUAUUGGAGCGGCCGAUGUCGGAUUAGCUAGUUGGUGGGGUAAAGGCUUACCAAGGCGACGAUCCGUAGCUGGUCUGAGAGGACGACCAGCCACACUGGGACUGAGACACGGCCCAGACUCCUACGGGAGGCAGCAGUGGGGAAUUUUGGACAAUGGGGGCAACCCUGAUCCAGCCAUGCCGCGUGCGGGAAGAAGGCCUUCGGGUUGUAAACCGCUUUUGUUCGGGAAGAAAUCCUCUGGGCUAAUACCCCGGGGGGAUGACGGUACCGGAAGAAUAAACACCGGCGAACUACGU